UACGUAGGGGGCUAGCGUUGUCCGGAAUCGAUUGGCGUAAAGGCGCGUGUAGGCGGGUCGGUGAACAAGGUCACUUCGUGAAAUCUCCGGGCUUAACUCGGCAACGGUCAAGUGUAUACUGUCCGGACUAGAGUACAGAAUCGGGGCAACUGGAAUUCUACGGUGUAGCGGUGAAAUGCGGUAGAGUAUGCGGAGGGACACCGAUGGCGA
rnacentral:rRNA from 1 species